CUAGAUAGCUCAGUCGGUAGAGCAGAGGACUGAAAAUCCUCGUGUCGCUGGUUCGAUUCCGGCUCUAGG
rnacentral:tRNA from 1 species